rnacentral:piRNA from 1 species
CACACCUGGAUUGGUUAUGCUUACUACCUCA